UACGGGGGGGGCAAGCGUUGUUCGGAAUUACUGGGCGUAAAGGGCUCGUAGGCGGCCAACUAAGUCAUACGUGAAAUCCCUCGGCUUAACCGGGGAACUGCGUCUGAUACUGGAUGGCUUGAGUUCGGGAGAGGGAUGCGGAAUUCCAGGUGUAGCGGUGAAAUGCGUAGAUAUCUGGAGGAAUACCGGUGGCGAAGGCGGCAUCCUGGACCGGCAUUGACGCUGAAGCGCGAAAGCUAGGGGAGCAAACGGG
rnacentral:rRNA from 1 species